rnacentral:lncRNA from 1 species
AAAAAAAAAAAAAAAAAGACUUAAAAUUCAGAUCCAUCAAACAAAUAACUAAAAGUACAACAUCCCCCGUACUGCCACUUCUCUAAACACACAAGAACUCAUCAUUUUUCUAACUAAAACGAUGGACGAUGGACGGUUAGAUAAAAACACACCCCUAGUAACUUAAGGUGAAAAGGAAAACACAAAACUCCAUAACCACGCGAGCUUGGCCGACCCCGUCAAGGUCCGUAACGCAGAAUUAUGUGCUCGUAGUAGCUUCCUUUUUCUCUUCCGAAGUACCAACUCCGGCCUUGACAGCAUCCUGCUCUUCGGCGGCCUCAUCUUCUGCCUUUGAGAGAUCUAGAUCUACAAUAAAAGGACGAGGGAACAUUAUUGGUAACCAAGACGGAACAUCCGACUAUUGCUUUAGCAAUCUUUGUGUUAUUUUUCAUCCAACAAACGAACAGAUUAAAGUAAUUUUACAUGCAGCGUUACGCAGGCAAAAAAUCCAAAGCAAGAGCUUAUUCAAGGUAGAAAUAUUUAUAAAACGAACUUUGACCCUAAGAUUGUUGUUGUUGGGACUGUUCACUUUAACGAAAAACCAAAUUUUUACACUAAAAAAUCAAUCCUGAUACUAUUCACUUUACCCUUUAUUUUGUCCUUAUCGUUAAAACUCAAAGUUUCAAGCCCUUUUCAUUAGUUUACAAGGCAUGAACAUCUUCCCAAUGGGAUGGUCCACAUCAAAAACCCACCUUAACUCCUACGAACCCGAAACCUAAGACUGUGUCUAAGUAGAGUCAUCUCCAAUCCCCAUUCGUUUUUUCACGGUCAUCAAACAUUGUGGAACCUUUAAGCCUACAUCGCGGGUUUUUGAAUACUAGACCUAGACUUCCUAAUGAGAUGUUUAUCCUUACUCGGCUUGCCACUAAAGAUUAAGUGCUAAUAGUCUUCUUACCUUCAUCACUAUCAUCAAAGUCACCCAUUCCUCCCAUAUCGUCG